CCUUCGGGAGGCAGCAGUGAGGAAUAUUGGUCAAUGGACGGAAGUCUGAACCAGCCAUGCCGCGUGCAGGAUGACGGCUCUAUGAGUUGUAAACUGCUUUUGUAUUAGGGUAAACACCCCUACGUGUAGGGGCUUGAAAGUAUAAUACGAAUAAGGAUCGGCUAACUCCGUGCCAGCAGCCGCGGUAAUACGGAGGAUCCAAGCGUUAUCCGGAUUCAUUGGGCUUAAAGGGAGCGUAGGCGGGCGUUCAAGUCAGCUGUAAAAUCGCGCGGCUCAACCGCGCCCCGCAGUUGAAACUGGACGCCUUGAGUUCACAACAGGCAGGCGGAAUUCGUGGUGUAGCGGUGAAAUGCAUAGAUAUCACGAGGAACCCCGAUUGCGAAGGCAGCCUGCCGGGGUGCGACUGACGCUGAGGCUCGAAGGUGCGGGUAUCAAACAGGAUUAGAUACCCUUGUAGUC
rnacentral:rRNA from 1 species